UGGGGAAUCUUGCGCAAUGGGCGAAAGCCUGACGCAGCCAUGCCGCGUGAAUGAUGAAGGUCUUAGGAUUGUAAAAUUCUUUCACCGGGGACGAUAAUGACGGUACCCGGAGAAGAAGCCCCGGCUAACUUCGUGCCAGCAGCCGCGGUAAUACGAAGGGGGCUAGCGUUGCUCGGAAUUACUGGGCGUAAAGGGCGCGUAGGCGGAUCGUUAAGUCAGAGGUGAAAUCCCAGGGCUCAACCCUGGAACUGCCUUUGAUAAUGGCGAGCUUGAAUAGGAGAGAGGUAUGUGGAACUCCGGGUUUAGAGGUGAAAUUCGUAGAUAUUCGGAAGAACACCAGUGGCGAAGGCGACAUACUGGCUCAAUACUGACGCUGAGGCGCGAAAGCGUGGGGAGCAAACAGG
rnacentral:rRNA from 1 species